AUUGAACGCUGGCGGCAGGCCUAACACAUGCAAGUCGAGCGGAUGAAGGGAGCUUGCUCCUGGAUUCAGCGGCGGACGGGUGAGUAAUGCCUAGGAAUCUGCCUGGUAGUGGGGGCUAACGUCCGGAAACGGGCGCUAAUACCGCAUACGUCCUGAGGGAGAAAGUGGGGGAUCUUCGGACCUCACGCUAUCAGAUGAGCCUAGGUCGGAUUAGCUAGUUGGUGGGGUAAAGGCCUACCAAGGCGACGAUCCGUAACUGGUCUGAGAGGAUGAUCAGUCACACUGGAACUGAGACACGGUCCAGACUCCUACGGGAGGCAGCAGUGGGGAAUAUUGGACAAUGGGCGAAAGCCUGAUCCAGCCAUGCCGCGUGUGUGAAGAAGGUCUUCGGAUUGUAAAGCACUUUUAGUGGGGAGGAAGGGCAGUAAGUUAAUACCUUGCUGUUUUGACGUUACCAACAGAAUAAGCACCGGCUAACUUCGUG
rnacentral:rRNA from 1 species